rnacentral:rRNA from 1 species
UCUUAUUGAUUAUAAUUUUAAGUCUAAUCUGCCCAAUGAUAUUUUAUUUAAUGGCUGCAGUAUUUAUAACUGUACAAAGGUAGCAUAAUAAUUAGUUUUUUAAUUGAAAACUAGAAUGAAAGAUUAAAUGAAAUAUAUACUAUAUAAAUAAAAUUAAAAAUUAAAAUUAAAAUUUAAGUAAAAAUUCUUAAAUUAUUUUAAAAGACGAGAAGACCCUAUAGAAUUUUAUUUUUUAUUAUUUUAAGAUUUAAUAAUAAAUUUAAAUAAAUAAUAAAAAAUUUAAUUGGGGUAAUUUUAAAAUUAAAUUAAUUUUUAUUUAAAAAACAUAAAUUAAUGAAUUUUUAAUCCUAAAAUUUAGAUUAAAAAAAUAAAUUACC